GAGUUUGAUCAUGGCUCAGAACGAACGCUGGCGGCAGGCCUCAAACAUGCAAGUCGAGCGCCCAGCAAUGGGAGCGGCGGACGGGCGCGUAACACGUGGGAACGUACCCUUUGGUUCGGAACAACUCAGGGAAACUUGAGCUAAUACCGAAUGUGCCCGAAAGGGGAAAGAUUUAUCGCCAAAGGAUCGGCCCGCGUUCGAUUAGCUAGUUGGUGAGGUAACGGCUCACCAAGGCGACGAUCGAUAGCUGGUCUGAGAGGACGAUCAGCCACACUGGGACUGAGACACGGCCCAGACUCCUACGGGAGGCAGCAGUUGGGAAUCUUGGACAAUGGAGGAAACUCUGAUCCAGCCAUGCCGCGUGAGUGAUGAAGGCCUUCGGGUUGUAAAACUCUUUCGACGGGGACGAUAAUGACGGUACCCGUAGAAGAAGCUCCGGCUAACUUCGUGCCAGCAGCCGCGGUAAUACGAAGGGGGCUAGCGUUGUUCGGAAUUACUGGGCGUAAAGCGCGCGCAGGCGGCCAUUCAAGUCAGGGGUGAAAGCCCGGAGCUCAACUCCGGAACUGCCUUUGAAACUGUAUGGCUUGAGUACGGGAGAGGUGAGUGGAAUUCCCAGUGUAGAGGUGAAAUUCGUAGAUAUUGGGAAGAACACCGGUGGCGAAGGCGGCUCACUGGCCCGUUUCUGACGCUCAUGCGCGACAGCGUGGGGAUCAAACAGGAUUAGAUACCCUGGUAGUCCACGCCGUAAACGAUGGAUGCUAGCCGUUGGCGGGCUUGCUCGUCAGUGGCGCAGCUAACGCAUUAAGCAUCCCGCCUGGGGAGUACGGCCGCAAGGUUGAAACUCAAAGGAAUUGACGGGGGCCCGCACAAGCGGUGGAGCAUGUUGCUUAAUUCGACGCAACGCGAAGAACCUUACCAAGGUUUGACAUGGCCGGAAAACUCGCAGAGAUGCGGGGUCCUUCGGGGCCGGUCACAGGUGGUGCAUGGCUGUCGUCAGCUCGUGUCGUGAGAUGUUGGGUUAAGUCCCGCAACGAGCGCAACCCUCGUCCCAUGUUGCCAGCAUUCAGUUGGGGACUCAUGGGAGACUGCCGGGGUCAACUCGGAGGAAGGUGGGGAUGACGUCAAGUCAUCAUGCCCCUUAUGUCUUGGGCUGCAAACAUGCUACAAUGGCCGGUACAAAGCGCUGCGACAUCGUGAGAUGAAGCGAAUCGCAUAAAGCCGGUCUCAGUUCGGAUCGGGGUCUGCAACCCGGCCCCGUGAAGCCGGAGUCGCUAGUAAUCGCGGAUCAGCAACGCCGCGGUGAAUACGUUCCCGGGCCUUGUACACACCGCCCGUCACGUCACGAAAGUUGGCAACACCCGAAGCCGGCGGCCUAACCCGUAAGGGAGGGAGCUGUCGAAGGUGGGGUCNNCGAUUGGGACGAAGUCGUAACAAGGUAGC
rnacentral:rRNA from 1 species